UAGAAAAUGUUAAUAAGCUAUACUCAAUUAAUAGAAAUUAGCAGAAAGAAGACAUCAUCGUACCAUUAAAUCUAGCACAGUCUACGGAGAAAUAGAAAUUGCUUCAAAUACAAGAACCAUGAGUGAACGUCGCACUCUGAAGGAACAUUGAAACCCCAGCUACGGCCGCCACUACCACAAACAUACCCGAAUAGAAGUCUGCCAGUGUACUCACACCACCAGUGUAACCGAACAAGAGGGCAAAUAUUGGGAAGCAAGCGCCUUGAACAAACGCAGCGAUUGAGCC